rnacentral:rRNA from 1 species
GUAGCUUGCUACUUUGCCGGCGAGCGGCGGACGGGUGAGUAAUGUCUGGGAAACUGCCUGAUGGAGGGGGAUAACUACUGGAAACGGUAGCUAAUACCGCAUGACCUCGCAAGAGCAAAGUGGGGGACCUUCGGGCCUCACGCCAUCGGAUGUGCCCAGAUGGGAUUAGCUAGUAGGUGAGGUAAUGGCUCACCUAGGCGACGAUCCCUAGCUGGUCUGAGAGGAUGACCAGCCACACUGGAACUGAGACACGGUCCAGACUCCUACGGGAGGCAGCAGUGGGGAAUAUUGCACAAUGGGCGCAAGCCUGAUGCAGCCAUGCCGCGUGUGUGAAGAAGGCCUUAGGGUUGUAAAGCACUUUCAGCGAGGAGGAAGGGUUCAGUGUUAAUAGCACUGAGCAUUGACGUUACUCGCAGAAGAAGCACCGGCUAACUCCGUGCCAGC